AUCGAACGCUGGCGGCAGGCCUAACACAUGCAAGUCGAACGAGUGGCGGACGGGUGAGUAAGGUCUGGGAAACUGCCUGAUGGAGGGGGAAAACUACUGGAAACGGUAGCUAAUACCGCAUACCACCAUAUGUGCCCAGAUGGGAUUAGCUUGUUGGUGGGGUAACGGAGCACCAAGGCGACGAUCCCUAGCUGGUCUGAGAGGAUGACCGGCCACACUGGAACUGAGACACGGUCCAGACUCCUCCGGGAGGCAGCAGUUGGGAAUAUGGGGCAAGGGGCGAAAGCCUGAUGCAGCCAUGCCGCGUGUAUGAAGAAGGCCUUCGGGUUGUAAAGUACUUUCGGCAGGGAGGCGUUACCCACAGAGGAAGCACCGGCUAACUCCGUGCCAGCCGCCGCGGUAAUUC
rnacentral:rRNA from 1 species